rnacentral:lncRNA from 1 species
AAGGGCUUUUAUCAGAGUUUGGGCAAGGGAGAAAGCUGAAGGGUGGUUCCAGUUUAAAUAGACAGAAAGGAUAUUGAUUGAGGUGGCCUUUGUCCGUUGGGCUGUCUGGGACAAGCGUCCUGACUGACCUUACAGCAGGUGGGAAGAGAAGUGAUGUCCUUCAGGUGCAAUGAAACAAGAGUCAAGGAGAACGGUGUAUCUAUUCUAGCAGGAGAGUCCUAAAGAAGGUGCCUUCCCAAAGUGGUGUUUGCAGUGUUUCAUGAAUGCCUUGAUCCACUGGGAGACACAAGUUGGUUUAGGUGGUGAUGGGUGGUCACGUAAAGAAAAAAAGAGGCUGAGUUAAGUGCUGGAAUGCAAAGUUAAUAUGAACCACGGCCCAAGAGAAAACUCAAUAUGAAUGAGAACUGGGAUGCGCAAUGUAAGAAGUGGGAGUUUGAGUCAUUUUAUUCUGUAGAGUCUUGUAAUACAGCACAGGCAGUCAGGGGUCAUGAAUGAGUGGAAGCACAGCACUGCCUGACAUGGGGAUUUGGGAGGGGUCCUGGAGCUGGGGACGGGUAGGAACACAUUUACCAAACAGUGAUGCCUCCCGACUUCCUGAAGACCAGGCUCAGAGCAAGACAGAGAAUCCGAGUGGUUUUAUUAACCUCCUCGACUCGGCUGGGUGAGUUGCCUGUGCAUAACCUUUGCUUUUUGUUUACGGACUGCAGAGCUGCUUGUGGGCUGCUGGUAAAAUAAAUGCCUUUGGAUUCUGGAUUGACCCUGUCACUGCUGCUCAGGGGCAAUCCAACAUGGAGAUCUUAGCAGGAGCACAGCUGCGUGAGCACUGGAGAGCAGCAAACAAAACUUUGCUCCUGUGGAUGAAUUGACAGCAGGAGGAGGUUACACUUGGCUCUCCCGCAAAGAAAGCAAGACAAAUUGCAGAAAUCUUGGUGCCUCCUCCAACAGAAAUGCUGGCCUCUGCACGGCCAAACCUGCAUUGCACGAGGAACAUCGUCCCACCUACCCAUGGAUCUGCCUGGGAGUAAAAGGUGUACAUUGCAAGGCCAUCCACAGUAAGUGCCAUGGGACGAGCUGCAUUAUUUUCACCCAAAUAUUUCUUCUGGUAGAGCAAUUUGAUGAAGAAAGUAAUCCAAGCCUCCCCCUGCCAGUUUUGCAGCACACCAAGGAGUGGCCAAAGCCAAGGUUCAAAGCUGUGCUCAUGGAGGAAAAAAAGAUACAAGCAAGCAGUGACUGCCUUCAUUGUAUGGUUUAGUUUUGACUAAACUCAAGUCACUUUUAAAUUCUCAGACUUCAGGGGGCUUCUCUCUCACUUCUG